rnacentral:rRNA from 1 species
UACGUAGGGGGCAAGCGUUGUUCGGAUUUACUGGGCGUAAAGGGCGCGUAGGCGGUCACCGCAAGUCGACUGUGAAAUCUCCGGGCUUAACCCGGAAAGGUCAGCCGAUACUGCGGGGCUAGAGUGCAGAAGGGGCAACCGGAAUUCUCGGUGUAGCGGUGAAAUGCGUAGAUAUCGAGAGGAACACCUGCGGCGAAGGCGGGUUGCUGGGCUGACACUGACGCUGAUGUGCGAAAGCUAGGGGAGCGAACGGG